AGAGGACGAUCAGCCACAUUGGGACUGAGACACGGCCCAGACUCCUACGGGAGGCUGCAGCAGGGAAUAUUGCGCAAUGAGCGAAAGCUUGACGCAGCGACACCGCGUGUGGGAUGACGGAUCUAGGUUUGUAAACCACUUUCAGGAGGGAAGAAAAUGACGGUACCUCCACAAGAAGCCCCGGCCAACUACGUGCCAGCAGCCGCGGUAAUACGUAGGGGGCGAGCGUUGUCCGGAUUUAUUGGGCGUAAAGAGCUCGUAGGCGGUUCAACAAGUCGGUCGUGAAAGUUCAGGGCUCAACCCUGAAAUGUCGAUCGAUACUGUUGUGACUAGGAUACGGUAGAGGUGAGUGGAAUUCCGAGUGUAGCGGUGAAAUGCGUAGAUAUUCGGAGGAACACCAAUUGCGAAGGCAGCUCACUGGGCCGCUAUCGACGCUGAGGAGCGAAAGCUAGGGGAGCAAACAGGAUUAGAUACCCUGGUAGUCCUAGCUGUAAACGAUGGAUACUAGACGUAGGAAUUGGAUUAACGAUUUCUGUGUCGUAGCUAACGCGUUAAGUAUCCCGCCUGGGGAGUACGGUCGCAAGACUAAAACUCAAAGGAAUUGACGGGACCCCGCACAAGCGGCGGAGCAUGCGGCUUAAUUCGAUGAUACCCGUAGAACCUUACCUGGACUUGACAUAUAGGGAAAAGUUAUAGAAAUAUAAUCUGCAUUAGCGCCCUAUACAGGUGGUGCAUGGCUGUCGUCAGCUCGUGUCGUGAGAUGUUGGGUUAAGUCCCGCAACGA
rnacentral:rRNA from 1 species